GAUUGUUCCAUAGGUGUGGCCCCAAAGUAGCUAACACACCAUAGCUUUGCCUAUUAACAAAGACUCCUGCUGCUUUCAAUACCUUCACAUGAUUCUUUUUUUAAAAGAACAAAUUUCAAUCAUUCAAGAUAUGUCAUUAUCAACUCUCACAAAACUUUCAUAAAUUACUAUUUCACAACAGGAAUAGAGUUAGAGAGAAUCUUAACCUGUUUGUAAUAUUCUUCUCCACCUUUCAACACAGUAAGAACCAUGUAGCUUCUGCCUGUUCACAACAGUAAAUAGAAAUGUAUCUAUCAAAGAAAACUCUACACACAAACGAAGGGUUUUGGAAAGUCAAAGCCGGUAAUUUGUAUCAAUAAUACGGUUGUGUUCGAAAAUGACUGAAAAGUUUUAGCUUAUUGACUGAACAGAAAACAACAAAUAGUUUUAGCUGGCAGCUUGCUAGGAGAGGACCGCACUCACGUAGAUGUGAUUCUCAAGUCACUUUCCACAUUGUAAUAUCAAAUCCACCAUGCACGUGCAGAAGCAAUAAACAGGUAGAUGAUAAUGAAAUAAGGGUCGUCCAAUCUAAUUCUAUGACCCACAAAAUGUGAGAGAAUGUGACUCAGUAAAUGCACAACACAUUGGACCUGGUCUACCAAUUUCAAAUUCCAGGAAGACCAAAGAAACAAACGAGUAAAGGCGUAGAAACAAACGAGUAAAGGCAAAGAACCAAGCAGUUCUGUCAAACUAUUAGCUUGCACAUGUUCAAUUGAUAACCGAAAGUGAUAUCUAAGGGAAAGAUUAACAAGCAACACGAACCUUAAACUUUUUAUCAAAAAUUUUGUGACUUCGAGAAACUUUGUACAAUCAAUCAACGAAACUAGAAUUCCAUAAUCAUAAGAGAAGAGUUAUGAAGCCCAAUCAGUAUAUUAAAGUAAGACUGACAUAAUUACAUUAGAUUCAGGUACAAGGUUCAAGACAGAGAACUCUAAAUUCCGCUUCCUAAAACUAAAUGAAGAACCUAGAGCUAAAAUCCUAAAAACUGCAAAAAAAUUCACGAGUCUUUCGAAUCACCAAACCAUCCUGAAAAUGGCAGAGAUUAACCCCUUGUGUUUCUCCUCAUUAUUCUGGGCACUAGAAGACCAAUGGAGUUGUUCAAACUCUGGAGUUGAAGCUCUUGUUCAAGUUUGAAAUCCAGAGCUCAAGCUAGCUGAACCUGAAACCGCAAAAACAGAUUGAUAACAACACAGUAUGCCAAACUAACAAUAUCCUUAAUCAACACACCCUAACUUCCAAAACAAAUUCUCAUUCCAUAGCAUUAUACCAUAUUGAACACCGAAAACAAUACGAAAGAACUCAAAUUGAUAUACAUUUCCUCCUCACUAACACUUUUACUAAGCUUAGCAGUUGGAGGAGCCCUUAAGUUCAAGAACGUGAAGGUAGCUGCAAUGGCACCACAAUCUAACUAGCUAAAACAAGCUUAUUGUAGAAAAAGCACUAAACUAGUAGUAGUAAUAUAUGCUUGUUCAACAGCAGCAACUGUAGUCGAAAUAAUAAACAAGAGAAAGCUCUAGUGUCUGUCUACCAAUGCGCAAACUCCAGAAAAUGUCGUUGUACAACCACCGCAAGCGGGGGAAGUGCAAUGACUUACUCGAUCAACGACUCGCAACCGAUGGACCGCAGAGAGAGAGGCUGAAUCUGAAUUUGGGUAUUCAUCUCCGUCGGGUUCCCGCCGCGGGACACGGCGAAGAUCGAUGUAGGGAUUGAUCCCGGGAAAUCGGUGACUGGCCCAAGUAGUGUUAUGGGCUUAAUGUGGGCUUUCAUAAAUGAUGGGUUAUGUCUAGUAAUAGGCCCUUCUUUCAGGUAUCCACGGGUUUUCGGGUUUUACCGACCCGGAUGGGAUU
rnacentral:lncRNA from 1 species